rnacentral:rRNA from 1 species
UACGUAGGUGGCGAGCGUUAUCCGGAAUUAUUGGGCGUAAAGAGCGCGCAGGUGGUUGAUUAAGUCUGAUGUGAAAGCCCACGGCUUAACCGUGGAGGGUCAUUGGAAACUGGUCGACUUGAGUGCAGAAGAGGGAAGUGGAAUUCCAUGUGUAGCGGUGAAAUGCGUAGAGAUAUGGAGGAACACCAGUGGCGAAGGCGGCUUCCUGGUCUGUAACUGACACUGAGGCGCGAAAGCGUGAGGAGCAAACAGGAUUAGA